GUUGAUGGAGGGCACCUGAAAAAGAUUAAAGUCCUUACCCUUGAACAGCCUCAGGUCUGAGGGGGAGGGCCAGAUCUGCUUUGUGCAGGUUGACUGGGCAACUAAGAAGGCGCAGGCCAGCGUGGGACCACUGCACACGCAGCUGAGCUCCCCACAACUGAGUCAGAGCCCUCAGGCCUGUGUAAUGUGGCCUCCCAGUGCCUAUCGCCUGGGGGCUUUGCACCUGUGAGGGAAGCUCAGGCUGGUCUUUCAGGGAGCCAGGGGGUCCCUCUUGAAGCAAUCCUCGCCUUUCAGCCUUGUGUUUCCAAAGCCUUUCAGCACCAAGUAACAGGUUGAUUCCUUUUAAAAUGUGGGGAGCGGAUUGGGAAGCAACUGCCUGGGCACGUUCCUCAGGAAGGGAUGUGGAGAAGGUCCUGAAGCAACAGAGCCAACUGACCAUGGACUGAAACAUCUGAAACUGUGAGCCAAGAUAAAUCUUUCCUUCAAGUUGUUGCUCUCAGGCUGUCAACAUGAGCUGCUUUAUACAUCACUUCAUUUAGAAGAAGAGAGACCAGAAUGUAGAGUUGCCACUCAGAUAUGCAGAAGAGUGACCAGAAUUCUGCAGUUUGUUAUGAAAGCCUUCUCAGUGGAACCAAUCUCCAUGACGAUCAUGCUCCAUUUCAGGACUUUUCCCACCUUCACGACUUCUCCUAUAAGGAAUCCCCAAGAAAUCCUCCUCUUCCUGGAGCAGUGUGUGUGGGGGUGCAAGGGUGUUUCCCAGAGGAGACUUCCACAGGUGCUCACCUCACUUCUGCCUGCCCAGGUCCCCUGCUCACAUGCUCUCCCUUCCUGUUCGGCUAUGGAGAAAAUGCUCAGGCUCCUGUAAGAGAGAUCUCACCUCUCUCCUCUGCUCAAGGCUAUUCUCCAAUAAUUUGUUCCCCUCUCUCCUGCAUCACCAAUUUUUUCUUUGGUUGCAUAUUGGCAUUGGUGCACAAACUUUUCUUGACCUCAACGAACGCUCCCAC